CCUACGGGAGGCAGCAGUGGGGAAUAUUGGGCAAUGGGCGCAAGCCUGACCCAGCAACGCCGCGUGAAGGAAGAAGGCUUUCGGGUUGUAAACUUCUUUUGUCAGGGACGAAGCAAGUGACGGUACCUGACGAAUAAGCCACGGCGAACUACGUGCCAGCAGCCGCGGUAAUACGGAGGUGGCAAGCGUUAUCCGGAUUUAAUGGGUGUAAGGGGGGUGUAGGCGGGGAAGCAAGUCAGAUGUGAAAACCACGGGCUCAACCUGUGGCCUGCAUUUGAAACUGUUUUUCUUGAGUGCUGGAGAGGCAAUCGGAAUUCCGUGUGUAGCGGUGAAAUGCGUAGAUAUACGGAGGAACACCAGUGGCGAAGGCGGAUUGCUGGACAGUAACUGACGCUGAGGCGCGAAAGCGUGGGGAGCAAACAGGAUUAGAUACCCCUGUAGUC
rnacentral:rRNA from 1 species